GACGAACGCUGGCGGCGUGCUUAACACAUGCAAGUCGAACGGAAAGGCCCCCAUCUUGGUGGGGGUGCUCGAGUGGCGAACGGGUGAGUAACACGUGGGUGAUCUGCCCUGUACUUCGGGAUAAGCUUGGGAAACUGGGUCUAAUACCGGAUAGGACCAUGGUUUAGUGUCUCAUGGUGGAAAGAUUAUUGUUUUGGUGCAGGGUGAGCUCGCGGCCUAUCAGCUUGUUGGUGGGGUAAUGGCCUACCAAGGCGUCGACGGGUAGCCGGCCUGAGAGGGUGGACGGCCACAUUGGGACUGAGAUACGGCCCAGACUCCUACGGGAGGCAGCAGUGGGGAAUAUUGCACAAUGGGCGCAAGCCUGAUGCAGCGACGCCGCGUGGGGGAUGACGGCCUUCGGGUUGUAAACUCCUUUCGUUAGGGACGAAGCCGCACUUUUUUUGGGUGUGGUGACGGUACCUUUGUUAAGAAGCACCGGCUAACUACGUG
rnacentral:rRNA from 1 species